rnacentral:rRNA from 1 species
CAGUCGCCGCGGUAAUACAGAGGGUGCGAGCGUUAAUCGGAUUUACUGGGCGUAAAGCGUGCGUAGGCGGUUUGUUAAGACAGAUGUGAAAUCCCCGGGCUCAACCUGGGAACUGCAUUUGUGACUGGCAAGCUAGAGUGUGGCAGAGGGGGGUGGAAUUCCGCGUGUAGCAGUGAAAUGCGUAGAUAUGCGGAGGAACACCGAUGGCGAAGGCAGCCCCCUGGGCCAACACUGACGCUCAUGCACGAAAGCGUGGGGAGCAAACAGGAUUAGAUACCCCCGUAGUCCCUGUCUCUUAUAC